GUAGUUUCUAGUCAAUAACUUGUCCGGACAAUAAGUUUUGUCUAGUGAAUGGAUCUCUUUGAAAUUUAAUAAGAAGGUUCAAUACCACUAAAGGAAGGUUGGGAUUGAUAUUUGGGGUUAUGGUCCCAGCUGUUAAUUAGGGGCCCAAAAAAGGAUUUUUGUAUUUUGCAGACAAUAACUUGUGUUUAAGUGUAUAAAUAUCUCUGAAAUAAUACCACAAGUUUCCAUACCAUGAAGGGAUGGUUAGUAUUGACUUUGGGGGGUUAUUGCUGAAAAUGUUUUGAAAUUAGGGGCGAAAGGGCCAAAAAAGGGGAAAAAAACUUGGUCAAUGGACAAUUAAGACAAUUUAAAAAAGCAGUGUAAGGGAGGUAACUCAAGAACAUUUAACAUACACUGUUGGGUAUGUUCAGAUUUACCUUCCUUACGCUUCUUGUAAAUUAUGUAUAAAGAAAUGUCAUAUUUUGGACUAAUUGCAAAACAAAAGGGGGCUGGUAGUAGUUUUAAUUUUUUUUUAAAUUUCUCAAAGUUUGAAGAAGAAAUCUUUAAUUGCACAAUAUUGUGCAAUAGAUUUGUAAGAUCUUGACAUUUGUUUUGUGCCAGAAACUCAUAUUAUGUUAAUUUUUUUUUAUCAUAACCCAAAUGUAGAGCUGUACCAAGCUUGAAUGAUGUGUCCAUACUUGCCCCAACUGUGUUGGGUUUCGACCUCUGCAGUCGUAUAAGCUGCGCCCUACGGAGCACCUGGUUUUAUACUUGCAUAAGAUUUUUUUAAAAUUAUUUAGAAUUGUC
rnacentral:lncRNA from 1 species